GGAGGGUGCGAGCGUUGUCCGGAAUCACUGGGCGUAAAGGGCGCGUAGGCGGCCUGAUAAGUAGGGGGUGGAAUCUUGCGGCUUAACCGCAAGGCUGCCUUCUAAACUGUCAGGCUAGAGCACAGUAGAGGCAGGUGGAAUUCCCGGUGUAGCGGUGGAAUGCGUAGAGAUCGGGAAGAACAUCAGUGGCGAAGGCGGCCUGCUGGGCUGUUGCUGACGCUGAGGCGCGACAGCGUGGGGAGCAAACAGGAUUAGAUACCCUGGUAGUCCACGCCGUAAACGAUGGGCACUAGGCGUCGGGGGGAGCGACCCUCCUGGUGCCGUCGCUAACGCAGUAAGUGCCCCGCCUGGGGAGUACGGCCGCAAGGCUG
rnacentral:rRNA from 1 species